AUUGAACGCUGGCGGCAUGCCUUACACAUGCAAGUCGAACGGCAGCACGGGCUUCGGUCUGGUGGCGAGUGGCGAACGGGUGAGUAAUGUAUCGGAACGUACCAUUGAGUGGGGGAUAACGUAGCGAAAGUUACGCUAAUACCGCAUAUUCUCUCCGGAGGAAAGCAGGGGACCGCAAGGCCUUGCGCUCUUUGAGCGGCCGAUAUCAGAUUAGCUAGUUGGUGGGGUAAAAGCUCACCAAGGCGACGAUCUGUAGCGGGUCUGAGAGGAUGAUCCACCACACUGGAACUGAGACACGGUCCAGACGCCUACGGGAGGCAGCAGUGGGGAAUUUUGGACGAUGGGGGCAACCCUGAUCCAGCCAUGCCGCGUGAGUGAAGAAGGCCUUCGGGUUGUAAAGCUCUUUCGGCCGGGAAAAAAUCGCAUGAGUUAAUACCUUGUGUGGAUGAUGGUACCGGAAUAAGAAGCACCGGCUAACUACGUGCCAGCCGCCGCCGUAC
rnacentral:rRNA from 1 species